rnacentral:rRNA from 1 species
UCUGACACAGGUGCUGCAUGGCUGUCGUCAGCUCGUGUCGUGAGAUGUUGGGUUAAGUCCGUAACGAGCGCAACCCUUGUCCUUAGUUACCAGCACGUUAUGGUGGGCACUCUAAGGAGACUGCCGGUGACAAACCGGAGGAAGGUGGGGAUGACGUCAAGUCAUCACGGCCCUUACGGCCUGGGCUACACACGUGCUACAAUGGUCGGUACAAAGGGUUGCCAAGCCGCGAGGUGGAGCUAAUCCCAUAAAACCGAUCGUAGUCCGGAUCGCAGUCUGCAACUCGACUGCGUGAAGUCGGAAUCGCUAGUAAUCGUGAAUCAGAAUGUCACGGUGAAUACGUUCCCGGGCCUU